rnacentral:rRNA from 1 species
GCCCCAGGCCCUACGGGGCGCAGCAGGUGCGAAAAUUCCGCAAUGCGUGCAAGCGCGACGGAGUGACCCCCAGUGCCGAUGGUCUAACGAUCGUCGGCUUUUCUGGAGUGUAAAAAGCUCUGGGUAAUAAGGGCCGGGUAAGACUGGUGCCAGCCGCCGCGGUAACACCAGCGGCUCAAGUGGUAGUCGAUUUUAUUGGGUCUAAAGCGUCCGUAGCCGGAUCGUCAAGUCCCUUGUGAAAUCGGGCGGCUUAACCGCUCGGCUUGCAAGAGAAACUGACGUUCUUGGGGUCGGCAGGCGCCGAGGGUACUCCGGAGGUAGCGGUGAAAUGCUAUAAUCUUCGGGGGACCGCCGGUGGCGAAAGCGCUCGGCGGGGCCGAACCCGACGGUGAGGGACGAAGGCCAGGGGAGCGAACCCGGAUUAGAUACCCGGGUAGUCCUGGCUGUAAAGUAUGUGGGCCAGGUGCCAGACGUUCCUCGAGAGCGCUUGGUGCCGAAGGGAAGCCGUUAAGCCCACCACCUGGGGAGUACGGUCGCAAGACUGAAACUUAAAGAAAUUGGCGGGGGAGCACCACAAGGGGUGGAGCCUGCGGUUUAAUUGGAUUCAACGCCGGACAUCUCACCGGGGGCGACGGCAGAGUGAAGGCCAAGUUGACGACUUUGCCGGACUCGCCGAGAGGUGGUGCAUGGCCGCCGUCAGCUCGUAUCGUGAGACGUCCUGUCAAGUCAGGUAACGAGCGAGACCCUUAUCCUUAGUUGCCAGCGGAUCCCUCUGGGAUGCCGGGCACUCUAAGGAGACCGCUGUCGAUAAGGCAGAGGAAGGAGAGGGCGACGGCAGGUCCGUAUGCCCCGAAUCCCCCGGGCAACACGCGGGCUACAAUGCGCGGGACAGAGGGCUGCGACCCCGAGAGGGGAAGCCGAUCCCUAAACCUGCGCCUAGUUCGGAUCGAGGGCUGCAACUCGCCCUCGUGAAGCUGGAAUCCCUAGUAAUCGCGUGUCACUAUCGCGCGGUGAAUACGUCCCUGCUCCUUGCACACACCGCCCGUCAAGCCAUCCGAGUGGGAUUUGGAUGAGGCUUACUCGACAUGAGUGGGUCAAAUCCGGGUUCUGCAAGGAGGGCUAAGUCGUAACAAGGUAACC